GACGAACGCUGGCGGCGUGCCUAAUACAUGCAAGUAGAACGCUUAAGAGAGGAGCUUGCUCUUCUUGGAUGAGUUGCGAACGGGUGAGUAACGCGUAGGUAACCUGCCUUGUAGCGGGGGAUAACUAUUGGAAACGAUAGCUAAUACCGCAUAACAAUGGAUGACACAUGUCAUUUAUUUGAAAGGGGCAAUUGCUCCACUACAAGAUGGACCUGCGUUGUAUUAGCUAGUAGGUGAGGUAAUGGCUCACCUAGGCGACGAUACAUAGCCGACCUGAGAGGGUGAUCGGCCACACUGGGACUGAGACACGGCCCAGACUCCUACGGGAGGCAGCAGUAGGGAAUCUUCGGCAAGGGGGGCAACCCUGACCGAGCAACGCCGCGUGAGUGAAGAAGGGUGUCGGAUCGGAAAGCUCUGUUGUAAGUCAAGAACGGGUGUGAGAGUGGAAAGUUCACACUGUGACGGUAGCUUACCAGAAAGGGACGGCUAACUAUGUG
rnacentral:rRNA from 1 species